rnacentral:rRNA from 1 species
GAUGAACGCUAGCGAUAGGCUUAACACAUGCCAGUCGAGGGGCAGCAUGGUCUUAGCUUGCUAAGACUGAUGGCGACCGGCGCACGGGUGCGUAACGCGUAUGCAACUUGCCUCACAGAGGGGGAUAACCCGUCGAAAGACGGACUAAUACCGCGUACACUCUAUUUUGGGCAUCCAAGGUAGAGGAAAUGAAAUUCGCUGUGAGAUAGGCAUGCGUCCCAUUAGCUAGUUGGUGAGGUAACGGCCCACCAAGGCGACGAUGGGUAGGGGAACUGAGAGGGUGAACCCCCACACUGGUACUGAGACACGGACCAGACUCCUACGGGAGGAAGCAGUGAGGAAUAUUGGUCAAUGGGCGAGAGCCUGAACCAGCCAAGUCGCGUGAAGGAUGACUGUCUUAUGGAUUGUAAACUUCUUUUGUAGGGGAAUAAAGAGGGGCACGUGUGCCCCAGUGAAUGUACCCUACGAAUAAGCAUCGGCUAACUCCGUG